rnacentral:lncRNA from 1 species
UUGCACUUACUCCAUUCUGCCGCCCUGUGAAGAGGGUGCCUGCUUUUCCUUUGCCUUCUGCCAUGAUUGUAAGUUUCCUGAGGCCUUCCCAGCGAUGUGGAACUGAAACCACACAUUCAAAAUAAUGCUAACCUGUCAAGUUAUUGAUCUGCACUGUACAUAUUUCCUGGUCAUAGGCAGCUUCCACACAAGAACAUCUGGAUGCAAAUUAAAGAAUUCAAUUACUCAAGCCUAAGUGAUAGAGGAGACCUCGGCUACUCUGCCUGAGCACAUCACUGCUGGAUCUCAAAAUCUGCAAGAACUUCCUAGGGCUUCAGGAACUUUCAUGUGCAUACCAGUCACCUGGGAAUCUUGUUACGAUGCAUAUUCUUUUUCAGUAAGCCCAAAUUCUGCAAUUCUUAUAAGGUCUUAGGGGACAUGAUGUUUGCUUCUAGUGGUCCAUGGUCUACUCCUGAAGGUCCACCAUGCCCAGCUUCAUCUCCCCACCCUCUGGAAACUCUCCUGUACCCAAGCCACUUGCUCUCUUCUAAAUAGGCAUUGUGUUCCCAUGUUCCCAUGUGUCUGCCUCUUUCAACUUCUCCUCUAAAAAUUCUCCAUGACCCCCAAGCAUAAGCCUCCAGCAGCAAGCUCAAAAAUGCUUUCUACUCUGUUGUGUUGCCCGGCCCACUUCAAGAGUAGAUGCUCAAUUCCUUCUUCCCCUAGUCGUAUUUGCUGCUACUUUUGCAGGCUGCUGGAACACUUUCACUCUGAGGAUUCUGAUGAACACAGUUCUUGCCCUCUUCACUUUUCCAAUCUGGUUGCAGGCACAGCGGGGGACAGCAGGAGUGCAACACAGUAACUUAAUAUAAUAUGGAGCUGCUAUUAUGGAGGGAAACAUUCACUGCUCUGAAAGGACUCAACAGCUGAGUCUUAAAGAAGGAUUUUACAAGAUUGACAAAGAAAUGGGUUAUCUCCAGAUAGGAAGGAAAAAUCACAAGGAAUAGUACAGCAAGGAAAGAGGAAACAGCACUGGACUUGGGGAAAAGGGAAAUCCUUGAGAUGUUGCUAAGGCAUAAAGAGCAAGACAGAGAGUGUCAGAAGAUGACACUGACGUCACCUGACUCCUGCUGCUGAGCUUCUCUGACAUUUUCUCAAGGGCUCAAGGCUUGGAUACCCUCUGAUAUGGUUUAUCUGUGUCCCCGCCCAAAUCUCACCUUGGUUUGUAAUCAUCUCCAUGUGUCAAGAAUGGGACCAGGUGGAGAUAAUUGAAUCAUGGGGGCAGUUUCCCACAUACUGUUCACAUGGUAGUAAAUAAGUCUCAUGAGCUCUGAUGGUUUUAUAAAUGGGAGUUCCCCUGCACAGGCUCUUUUUGCCUGCCACCAUGGAAGACACCCCUUUGCCCUUCCUUUAUUUUCUGCCACAAUUGUGAGGCCUCCCUAGCUAUGUGGAAUUGUGAGUGCAUUAAACCUCUUUCCUUUACAAAAUUA